GAUGCCAUGUGUUGUGUGUGGAUCACACAGUAGCCGUUGCCAGCAGAGGCAGAAGCCACGCAAUUCUUUUUGCUUUGAUAACCUGGUUGACAGCAGAUGCAGACAUUACUAUGACAAAGUGACUGUACUUUGCUUUGUUAGGAGGCAGUUUAAUAACCUGGUGGGCAAUGUGUGUGAUGUUGUUGCUCCCGAUGGAACGGAGUAUCGGUUUCAUCUGAAGAAACGGGCAAACAAGACUUAUGUUUAUGGAAGUGGUUAUGAUGAAUUUCUCAUUAGCUAUGGACUGGAACUUGGUGAGAGGAUUAGGAUUCUGCUAGAUAGUGCUCCGCAAUCAUUUGGUAUUGUUGCAGAAGAUAACACUGGUACACCGAAACAGAGGGUGGAAGUUGGACACCAUUUUCUAGAGGAUGCAAAAGUUGUUGUGUGUACAAAUCAUAUAAUUCUAUAGGAGGUACAAACAGCGAGGAUGAAUGACCGUAUUGGUGAGCACGGGCUGGGUAUGGGUGCUGUACUUGUGCAUAAAUUGACA